UCUAGGCGGACUGAGAGGUUGACCGCCAACACUGGGACUGAGACACUGCCCAGACUCCUACGGGAGGCUGCAGUCGAGAAUCAUUCGCAAUGGGCGAAAGCCUGACGAUGCGACGCCGUGUGGACGAUGAAGGCCUUUGGGUUGUAAAGUCCUUUCGCCAGGGAACAAGAAAGAAUGACUAAUAAUCAUUCAAUUUGAGCGUAUCUGGUAAAGAAGCACCGGCUAACUCCGUGCCAGCAGCUGCGGUAAUACGGAGGGUGCAAGCAUUAAUCGGAUUUAUUGGGUGUAAAGAGCAUGUAGGCGGAUAAGCAAGUCAGAUGUGAAAUUUCGAAGCUCAACUUCGAAGCUGCAUUUGAAACUGCUUGUCUAGAGGGUAGACGGAGAAAACGGAAUUCCAAGUGUAGCGGUGAAAUGCGUAGAUAUUUGGAAGAACACCGGUGGCGAAAGCGGUUUUCUAGUUUAUUCCNGACGCUNAGAUGCGAAAGCAAGGGGAGCAAACAGGAUUAGAUACC
rnacentral:rRNA from 1 species